UACAGAGGUGGCAAGCGUUGUUCGGAAUUACUGGGCGUAAAGGGCGCGUAGGCGGUUAUCUAAGUCGGAUGUGAAAGCCCUCGGCUUAACUGAGGAAGUGCACCCGAAACUGGAUAGCUAGAGUACGAAAGAGGGUCGCGGAAUUCCCGGUGUAGAGGUGAAAUUCGUAGAUAUCGGGAGGAACACCGGUGGCGAAGGCGGCGACCUGGGUCGAGACUGACGCUGAGGCGCGAAAGCGUGGGGAGCAAACAGG
rnacentral:rRNA from 1 species